CAAACCCGCACCCUACAAACCCCCACCCUACAAACCUCGGUCCCCCACAGCUUAUAUGUACCUGCGGGGACUGUGCAGAGACCAUGCGGCCAAUAAUUUCGACGUUUUUGGAGAGGUUCCCAGUGGUGGGCAAGGGGUAAGGGGCAUAAAGCAAACCUCAGGAGGUUUCGUCAGCAUCUGAGGGAGUUUGUUACAAUUAUGGUGACAGCGCUGGGGAAGGUUGCCCUGAGAGGAGCUGUGGGGUCUCCAGUGCCCAAACACAGAGGACAAGGCACAAAACUGCUCCGUAGACACGGUUAAAGGCAUCUGCAGCCAUCCCAGGAGCCUUUCACGCAGCCUCCUUUCUCAGGGAGUGACAGUUUGCAGAGGAGCGACCAGACUCUAAGUAGCUCGGGUUGAGGAGAAUAAAGGCUCUGAUUCACUAGAUCUGCAUGAAUUCAGAGCGUACGUCUGCCCUCUCCUCGAUUUUUGGCAGUGUUUUUAACAAUGUUUAGUACCGCUUUGUUGUAGAUUUGCUACACAAACUGUCACCAGAAGAAAUGCAGAGGGUGAAACAAGCAAAACAAUUGUGUGCGUGUGGCAAAGUGACUCAGACGUACCAGUUCCAGCGUGGGGUCAGGCCGUGGCACCCUCAUCUCUAUUUUCUCUUCCCCAAAACGCUUCUUUGAUAAGAAUCAUACACGAAUAAGAGGAGUGCAGUGAAGCUAUCCAAGCAUCUUUGAACCUGCAGCUUAUUCUGGAGGAAGGAUGUCAGCUUUCCUGCUGGUGAGGGGCAUUUUCCAGCUACGCAGCUGCGGAGGUAGCAGCAGGGAAGCUGCACCGUCGGAGCAGCAGAGCAGAAGCUUGAGAUUCAAGAUCCGGGCUUCACAUACAUUAUUAAGAACUGCUGUUCCAGGGACUGCUAUCUAAAUUAGUCUUAAAAGCGUAAAUUUAGUUAUCAGAGAAGUUACGUUGUAAAGAUUCUAAAAAACCUGGAAAUUAAAAGUAAGCUACUAGAAUAUUUCCUUAAUUGUAUUCCUGAGAGGGAAGAGGAAACGCGAUCACCAAGAUCAAGCAGAUAUACCCAAGGCAGACAUCUCCACAGAACGUGGGCACCUCAGAGCCGUGCGAGCACUUCUGAUGCUGCAGCUUAGGCCACUGUAACCAGAACCGAGGGCUGGGGCUCAGAUGCCAACCUAACAUUUGAAACCAAGGAGCCCGAUCCAUUUUCCAGGACUUCAGACCCAGCCUCACAAGGCACAAUUUUCUGUUACACCUCUCUUUCUCACAUACGGUCCCCCUGAAGCUGCAAAAGAAGAUUUUUCUGAUACAUUUUUUUUUUUAGUGAUAUA